GAUGAACGCUGGCGGCGUGCCUAAUACAUGCAAGUCGAGCGAACAGAUGAGGAGCUUGCUCCUCUGACGUUAGCGGCGGACGGGUGAGUAACACGUGGAUAACCUACCUAUAAGACUGGGAUAACUUCGGGAAACCGGAGCUAAUACCGGAUAAUAUAUUGAACCGCAUGGUUCAAUAGUGAAAGACGGUUUUGCUGUCACUUAUAGAUGGAUCCGCGCCGCAUUAGCUAGUUGGUAAGGUAACGGCUUACCAAGGCAACGAUUCGUAGCCGACCUGAGAGGGUGUUCGGCCACACUGGAACUGAGACACGGUCCAGACUCCUACGGGAGGCACCAGUAGGGAAUCUUCCGCAAUGGGCGAAAGCCUGACGGAGCAACGCCGCGUGAGUGAUGAAGGUCUUCUGAUCGUAAAACGCUGUUAUUAGGGACGAACAAAUGUGUAAGUAACUAUGCACGUCUUGACGGUACCUAAUCAGAAAGCCACGGCUAACUCCGUG
rnacentral:rRNA from 1 species